UGGGGAAUAUUGCACAAUGGGGGAAACCCUGAUGCAGCAACGCCGCGUGAGUGAAGAAGUAUUUCGGUAUGUAAAGCUCUAUCAGCAGGGAAGAAAAUGACGGUACCUGACUAAGAAGCCCCGGCUAACUACGUGCCAGCAGCCGCGGUAAUACGUAGGGGGCAAGCGUUAUCCGGAUUUACUGGGUGUAAAGGGAGCGUAGACGGCGAUGCAAGUCUGGAGUGAAAACCCGGGGCUCAACCCCGGGACUGCUUUGGAAACUGUAUAGCUGGAGUGCCGGAGAGGUAAGCGGAAUUCCUAGUGUAGCGGUGAAAUGCGUAGAUAUUAGGAGGAACACCAGUGGCGAAGGCGGCUUACUGGACGGUAACUGACGUUGAGGCUCGAAAGCGUGGGGAGCAAACA
rnacentral:rRNA from 1 species